rnacentral:pre_miRNA from 1 species
AAUGCACCAGUGGGGUUCCUCGGCCUGGCCUGCGGGAUCGGGCUGAAACUAGCUUUGACAUCCCCCGAGGGUUCCUGGAUUGCGAGAGGGUGCAGGCCAGGCCGAGGAACCCCACUGAUGCACA